rnacentral:rRNA from 1 species
UUCCUUUAGAAAUAUAUUAAAGGUAAUUUCUGCCCUAUGUAUAUAUAAAUGGCCGCAGUAUUAUGACUGUGCUAAGGUAGCAUAAUAAUUUGUCUUUUAAUUAAAGACUGGAAUGAAUGAAUAUUCAAAUAAUUACUUUUUUAUAAAACUUAAUAAAAACUAUACUUUUAGUGAAGAUACUAAAAUCUUACAGAAGGACAAGAAGACCCUAUAGAGCUUUAAAUUUAUUUUUAGUUGGGGCGACUUAAGAAUUUAAAUAACUUCUUAUAAAUUUAAGAAUUACAAUUCAAUUUAAUAACUUUAAAAUUAUGAACAAGCUACCUUAGGGUUAACAGGCUUAAAUUCUUUAAGAGUCCAUAUUGACAAGAUUUUUAGCACCUCGAUGUUGGCUUAGGAAAUCUAUUUAUUGCAAAAAAUAAAAAAGAAGGUUUGUUCACCCUUUAAAAUUCUACGUGAUCUGAGUUC